GUGUCAAAAUGGGUCAUGACCCAUGGGUUGACCCAACCCAAAUUGACCCAUUAACCCAAAUGAACUGUUUAUUUUUGAUCCAAUGGGUUAAUGGGUUAACAGAUUAAUGGGUUAGCAGAUGUAUGGGUUAGCAGGUUUAUGGGUUAACAGAUUAAAUGGAUCUAUUGGGUUGGGUCAAUUCUUAACCAUUUGGUUUAAUUAAAAAAAAGAUAUAUCUCUAUCUUCUCCAUCGACAUCAUCUCUCUCUCUUCUCAUCGACAUCCGCCGUCCGAGCUCGAUCUCUCUCUUCUCCAUCUCUCGCGAUCCAUCUUCUCCGGCUCGAUCUCUCAUCUCCUCCGAUUUGGGUUUCGACCUCUCUCUUCUCCGACGCCGAUCUCUCUCUUCUCUCAACUCGUCUUCAUCGAUCCAUCGAUCUCUCUCUCAACUCGUCUUCAUCGAUUCUCUCGACGACCCAUCUCAUCUCUCUCUCAUCUCUCUCAGACCCUCUCGACGACCCACUCUCAUCUCUCUCAGAGUCUCUUCACUGCGUUGAAGGAAGAGAUAGAGAUUGUUGCUCUCACUCUCUCAACCCUUUGAAGCUCUGAAGCUUAUCUCUUCUGAUUUGGGUCUCAGCCUCUCUCCUCUCAGAGUCUCUCCAUCGAUCUCUCUCGACGACUCACUCUCAGACCCUGUGGUGCACUCUCAUAGCUCUCUCCAGAGGUUCUUCUCAGUCUCAUCCUCCAUCUAAAGGUACCAUUUUGGUUGACUUUACUUACUAAUCACAUGAACUUCUUCCUGAUUUCUUCUGGUUAAUGUUAACUUUUAGUGGGUUUUGAUUUUUCAUCAUACAGCUUUGUUGAUACAUGUCGAUUUUGUUUCUGCUUUUUAGUGAUUCAGUUCGAUUUUUCAUCUCAACCCUUUGAAGUUCGGUUCAGUUUAAUUCUUGUCACGUUUACUUGUAAUGCAAGUAGCUCUGAAGCCCUGAAGCUCUGAUUCUCUUCUCGUCUCUCACUCUCUCCACCCUUUGAGGUAUGAAUGUUGAUGACUUGAUGGGUUUUGUUGAUCAUAUGCUGUGGAGACUUUGCAUUUGCCUAUUUACAGGUUCAUGUAGACGAACUAGUUUCCGAGUCCUCCCAUGUGUUUUUUCUUAUUACCAAACGUUUCUGUUUUUCUUUGUGGAUUUUAACAUCAUAAAACUAUUUUUUUAAAAAAUUUUACAUUUCUACAAGACUAUGUUACCAGAUUUUAUAUUUGUAAGUCACUUCUUAGCACUUGUUUAA